UACGAAGGGGGCUAGCGUUGCUCGGAGUCACUGGGCGUAAAGGGUGCGUAGGCGGGUUCUUAAGUCAGGGGUGAAAUCCUGGAGCUCAACUCCAGAACUGCCUUUGAUACUGAGAAGCUUGAGUCCGGGAGAGGUGAGUGGAACUGCGAGUGUAGAGGUGAAAUUCGUAGAUAUUCGCAAGAACACCAGUGGCGAAGGCGGCUCACUGGCCCGGUACUGACGCUGAGGUGCGAAAGCGUGGGGAGCAAACAGG
rnacentral:rRNA from 1 species